GAUCAUGGCUCAGGAUGAACGCUAGCUACAGGCUAACACAUGCAAGUCGAGGGGCAGCAUAACGAAAGCUUGCUUUGUUGAUGGCGACCGGCGCACGGGUGAGUAACGCGUAUCCAACCUUCCCUAUACUAGAGAAUAGCCCGGCGAAAGUCGGAUUAAUGCUCUAUGUUCUUCUUUGAUGGCAUCUGACGAGAAGCAAAGGUUUACCGGUAUAGGAUGGGGAUGCGUCUGAUUAGGUUGUUGGCGGGGUAACGGCCCACCAAGCCUACGAUCAGUAGGGGUUCUGAGAGGAAGGUCCCCCACAUUGGUACUGAGACACGGACCAAACUCCUACGGGAGGCAGCAGUGAGGAAUAUUGGUCAAUGGGCGAGAGCCUGAACCAGCCAAGUAGCGUGCAGGAAUGACUGCCCUAUGGGUUGUAAACUGCUUUUAUGCGGGAAUAAAGUCAGGUACGUGUACCUGUUUGUAUGUACCGCAUGAAUAAGGACCGGCUAAUUCCGUGCCAGCCGCUGC
rnacentral:rRNA from 1 species